rnacentral:tRNA from 1 species
UCCUGGUGGCUCAGAUGGUAAAGCGUCUGCCUACAAUGCAGGAGACCCGGGUUCGAUCCCUGGAUCAGGAA